rnacentral:lncRNA from 1 species
GGUGGAGGGAAGCUUAUCAGUGGGGCUACGAGCUGAGUGCGUCAUGUCACUCUGUAGCGCCUCCCUUGGGAAGGUCUGAGACUAAGGCCAACGGUGGCCCUAACAGGGCCCUCUCCCUGAGUGCAGGGAGGUGAGUUCCCAGAGAGCAGGGCUCCACGUGAGGGCAGACCAGGCAGGAUAAGCACUUGACUGGCAAACACAAGGAUCUGAGUUCAAUCCCCAGUUCCGAAAAAAAAAAAUUAAAUCAGUCGUGCUAGCUCAUGAAGCCUCAACAAAACUUCUGUAUACU